rnacentral:misc_RNA from 1 species
CUUCUCCCUCCUAAGAAUUCUGUCCAUUUAUUAACAGAAAUCUACAAUGUUCACAAGGAAUUAAGGUUACAAUGCUAAUUUGACAGAUUCCAGAAGCUCAGAGAAUACAAAGAAUACAAAGAGGACUUGUUCAUUGUAAGUCCCACUUAUUAAUUUCAAUGGCAGGUUCUAACAAUCCAAAGAAGGAGCAAAUACCUCCCUGAAAUUCACAAUCAAUAAGCACAAUAUCGCUUAUGGUACGGAAGACUGCAAUCGAAACAGAAGAACACAUCACUUAGAGAAAAAAAAAAUCUAACAAAAAUUUCAUGUCAGACAAAAAUAAUUUGUUGUGUAUAUGAAGUAGCUUAUUUUCUUCCUCAAUUCAAUAAAGGACUCUUCAGGUCACUCCAUCACCAUUACAAUAUGUCCACCAAUUUUGCCACGGCAGAAGCCUAGUUUUCUGACAAAGCAAUUAUUUGCCAAUUUCAAGUCCUCCCAAAUCACUGGAAUGAGAGAAACCAGAUGGAACCUAGUUAACGACAUCAACAACAAGCCUGCGAGACUUCAAAACUGACCACUUCAAGCGCCGGUAAUAUGCAGCCUGAAGUAAUGCCAGUGAGAGUACAAAUAUCCAUUUAAAACCCAUCAAUUUUCUUUCUUCCAUUUCUGGCUCUGCAGCCCAUGAUAAAAAUGUUACAACAUCUUUUCCCAUCUGUGCUUCUGUUGCAGGGGUACCAUCUUCAUACUCAACGGCACCAUCAUUCAGCAUUUUAGGCAUGGCAAUAGCUCCUCCAGGAAAGUAAGGAUUGUAAUGCAACCCCUCUCUGAUCUAUACCAUAUUUCAUUGUUUUAAAAUUUAUUUCAGGUUAGAACGAAGAACAAUAAAUAAUUAUUGUGAAAAAAGAAACAUUUAGUCUAUAAUUGUAAAAUGAAAGAUACAUCUAAUUUUCCACAGGCACAAAUAUGCUUCAUGAUGAAGUUCCUGACUUACCAUAGGGCAGCAACAUUUGAGAGAAAUGGCCCACCACAGAAGUAUGAUAGAAACAGGACAAAGCAAUUUUAUACAUGGAGAAAAAGGAAUUCAAAUCACAUUCUUAACUGUGAAACUUAAAGAGAUUAAUGAAAUUAAGGCUCCAUUUGUUUUGUGUAAAAUAUUUUUCUAAAAAAUAUUUUUUGCAUUUUCUAGUAUUUGAGGCACUCGAGACAUGGAUCAACGAAAAAUAUUUUCCUGAUCAAAGGAAAAAUUAAAACUCUUUUUAAGGAAAAUAACUUCUUUUUUUUCAAAAAAGGAAGUCAUUUUCUGAACUUUAAAAAUCUUAUUGAAAUAUGAAAACACUUAUACAUCCAUAAUAUAAAUAUAUACCAUUAGUUUAACACUGCAACCAAGCAAUGAAAAAUAUUUUCAUGGAAACAUUGUUUUAAAAAACAAUUUUCAUAUAUAAGUUAUUUUUCAUGAAACGAGGAGCCUAAGAAUUAAUAAGUUUAGCAGACACAUCCAGGACCAGCCAACCUUCCUCCAAAGACGCAACGGAAUUAAAACCGGCAUGCUCAACAAAAGAGAAGUGCAAACUGUAUUAUAUCAAAGCUUUUUUCUUGAGAACUUAAGCUGCGACAGAAAUCUACCAAUUCUCUAUAGAGUAUAUCAAACUAGAAAUUUUCCUUCAACACAUCAUGAAAGGUAUUUGUAUACAAUUGCAACCUGUAUUUUUCCAGGGCUAUAAAGUUAAAUUCUUAUAGUGUACAAAAGCAUGUCGUAAAAAGAAUAAGGCAACACUUACUGAAACACCAGCAGGAGGAUCAUGGUAACCAGUUAAAAGAGCAAAAACAUAAUUCUGACCAUUGUGACGAGCCUGCAAGAACAAGAAGUUAGGAAAUUCUAGAACACACCAUUGAAACUUCCAAAAAAUUCUUAACAAGGAGUUAUGAUUUACUUUCGUAAUAAGACUUAAAUCAGGAGGAUAAGCCCCUCCAUUAGCAAAUCUGGCCGCUUGUUCAUUUGCAUAUGGCUGAGGAAAACGAUCACUGAGUUUACCAGGACGGGUAAACAUCUCACCCUCAUCAUUGGGCCCAUCAACCACCUCGAUCUCAGCUGCCAUAGCUUUCACCUCCUCUUCUGUAUAUGCAACACCUACCAAAUCACGAUGUGAUAUCAAAGACAUGGAGUGGCAAGAUGCACAUACUUGCUGGUAAACUUGGUGGCCACGGCGGAUCGAAGCAUGGUCAUAUGAACUGAGAAUGCCUUUGUGAGGCCAAGGAUAGCUUGGACAUUCUAAGCCAUGUUCAGCCUCAUCAGCAGAUGCUACAGUUGCGAAACCCAGAAACCCAGAAAGGCCAGCUCCAAGGAGUGCAAAUGUUCUUAGGGAAUUCAUACCUGCUGUUCCAGCAUCAUCAUGAACUUUCUUUGAAGCAAAGAUAGAUAAAAAUGAAGAGGCAGCAGAGUGUUGCUGAAGCUUCCUCCUCAAAAGCUGGUGGAUCACUCCUCCUCCAGCCAUUUCAGUGAAUAUUUCUGUAAUGGGUUCAAGGAUGAGAUUGGAGAUGGAAGCGGUCAAAAAGAGCAGCCGCAGCUCAGAGAUCCGAACGAAGGACACAAGAAGAAGACGACUGGUUAUGGUUAACAUGAAUCAUAUUCUCCCCC